AGUGAACGCUGGCGGUAGGCCUAACACAUGCAAGUCGAACGGCAGCACAGUAAGAGCUUGCUCUUACGGGUGGCGAGUGGCGGACGGGUGAGGAAUACAUCGGAAUCUACUUUUUCGUGGGGGAUAACGUAGGGAAACUUACGCUAAUACCGCAUACGACCUACGGGUGAAAGCAGGGGAUCUUCGGACUUUGCGCGAUUGAAUGAGCCGAUGUCGGACUAGCUAGUUGGCGGGGUAAAGGCCCACCAAGGCGACGAUCCGUAGCUGGUCUGAGAGGAUGAUCAGCCACACUGGAACUGAGGCACGGUCCAGACUCCUACGGGAGGCAGCAGUGGGGAAUAUUGGACAAUGGGCGCAAGCCUGAUCCAGCCAUACCGCGUGGGUGAAGAAGGCCUUCGGGUUGUAAAGCCCUUUUGUUGGGAAAGAAAAGCAGCAGGUUAAUACCCCGCUGUUCUGACGGUACCCAAAGAAUAAGCACCGGCUAACUUCGUG
rnacentral:rRNA from 1 species